AGCGAACGCUGGCGGCAGGCCUACACAUGCAAGUCGAACGAACUCUUCGGAGUUAGUGGCGGACGGGUGAGUAACACGUGGGAACGUGCCUUUUGGUUCGGAAUAACUCAGGGAAACUUGUGCUAAUACCGAAUGUGCCCUUCGGGGGAAAGAUUUAUCGCCAUUAGAGCGGCCCGCGUCUGAUUAGCUAGUUGGUGAGGUAACGGCUCACCAAGGCGACGAUCAGUAGCUGGUCUGAGAGGAUGACCAGCCACACUGGGACUGAGACACGGCCCAGACUCCUACGGGAGGCAGCAGUGGGGAAUCUUGCGCAAUGGGCGAAAGCCUGACGCAGCCAUGCCGCGUGAAUGAUGAAGGUCUUAGGAUUGUAAAAUUCUUUCACCGGGGACGAUAAUGACGGUACCCGGAGAAGAAGCCCCGGCUAACUUCGUG
rnacentral:rRNA from 1 species